rnacentral:rRNA from 7 species
GAUCGCGGCGACGUGGGCGGUUCGCUGCCCGCGACGUCAUGAGAAGUCCACUGAACCUUAUCAUUUAGAGGAAGGAGAAGUCGUAACAAGGUUUCCGUAGGUGAACCUGCGGAAGGAUCAUUG